UACGUAGGGUGCGAGCGUUGUCCGGAAUUAUUGGGCGUAAAGGGCUUGUAGGCGGUCUGUCGCGUCUGCUGUGAAAAUCCGGGGCUCAACCCCGGACUUGCAGUGGGUACGGGCAGACUAGAGUGUGGUAGGGGAGACUGGAAUUCCUGGUGUAGCGGUGAAAUGCGCAGAUAUCAGGAGGAACACCGAUGGCGAAGGCAGGUCUCUGGGCCACUACUGACGCUGAGAAGCGAAAGCAUGGGGAGCGAACAGG
rnacentral:rRNA from 1 species